UGGCGGACGGGUGAGUAACGCGUGGGGGAACCUGCCCUGUACAGGGGGAUAACACUUAGAAAUAAGUGCUAAUACCGCAUAAGCGCACAGUGUCGCAUGAUACAGUGUGAAAAACUCCGGUGGUACAGGAUGGACCCGCGUCUGAUUAGCUGGUUGGCGGGGUAACGGCCCACCAAGGCGACGAUCAGUAGCCGGCCUGAGAGGGUGAACGGCCACAUUGGGACUGAGACACGGCCCAAACUCCUACGGAAGGCAGCAG
rnacentral:rRNA from 1 species